rnacentral:rRNA from 1 species
AAAUGAUUUCUUCGGAAUGAACUUAAGUGGAUUAGUGGCGAACGGGUGAGUAACACGUGAGUAACCUGCCUUACACAAGGGGAUAGCCUCUGGAAACGGAGAAUAAUACCCUAUAAAGUCUAAUCAGCCCAUGCUGGAAAGACCAAAGAUUUAUCGGUGUAAGAUGGACUUGCGUCUGAUUAGCUAGUUGGUGAGAUAAAAGCUCACCAAGGCGACGAUCAGUAGCCGGCUUGAGAGAGUGUACGGCCACAUUGGGACUGAGACACGGCCCAAACUCCUACGGGAGGCAGCAGUGGGGAAUUUUGCACAAUGGGGGAAACCCUGAUGCAGCGACGCCGCGUGAUUUAGAAGGCCUUCGGGUUGUAAAAAUCUUUUUUACGGGAUGAAAAUGACAGUACCGUAAGAAUAAGGUCCGGCUAAAUACGUGCCAGCAGCCGCGGUAAUACGUAUGGACCGAGCGUUGUCCGGAAUCAUUGGGCGUAAAGGGUACGUAGGCGGCCUAGUAAGUUAGAAGUUAAAGAAUAUAGCUCAACUAUAUAAAGCUUUUAAAACUGCUAGGCUUGAGAGAUGGAAGGGAAAGUGGAAUUCCUAGUGUAGCGGUGAAAUGCGCAGAUAUUAGGAAGAAUACCGGUGGCGAAGGCGACUUUCUGGUCAUCAUCUGACGCUGAGGUACGAAAGCGUGGGUAGCAAACAGGAUUAGAUACCCUGGUAGUCCACGCUGUAAACGAUGAGUGUUAGGUUCUUGGAAUAAUCUGGGAGCCGCAGCUAACGCAUUAAACACUCCGCCUGGGGAGUACGCACGCCAAGUGUG